ensembl:lncRNA
CCAGCCUCCUAACCAACAAAACAAAAUAGACAAGCACCACCACCAAGCCAGCCUGCCACAUCACCAACACAAACCUCUGACGCGCCAAAGCCAGCCAGCCACCUAAGCAAACACAGCACCCCAGGCCUACCCGCUGGCUCCGCUCCUCCUCCGCAUCGCAGCGCCUGGGAUCUCCCUCUUCCACGCAGGACUUCAGCCCCACCAGGACCCCUCACUCCAGCAUCAAAGGGCCACGCUCCAUCAACUCCACUCCUCCAGGACAGGACCUGCCACGCACCUUCCACCCUCUCACCUUGCUCCACAGGGGCACCCCGCUCACACCGCCAGGAUCCUGCCUCCGGCCUGAACCUGCACAGAGACCUCCACAAACCACCUCCAAGGGGGCGCGCCUGGGGGUCCCCCUCUCUCACCUCCUUCAUCCCACUGCUGGGGAAACCGCACACCUGCUCCAGCCAAUCCUCUCGGCAAAGCUCUCCGCUGCAGCCCUCGCCCUGCAGCAAGAGCACAGAUCACACAGCCAGACAGAAUGCCAAGGCCCCACUGCAAAGCGCCCGCACGCAACUGCAAUGGGGCCCAGGGAACCGGACUCCGCUACCUCCCCGGGCACCCUCUCCCAUCCCGCUCACAGGGAAAUCAUUCUUCUUCCUCCUGAAUGAGAAAUUCUGGUGAUACCAAACAUGCACACUGCCCCCCUACUGCCACACGCCACUCAUCCCCGUCCACUCGGCUCCUGCACAGCACGCAUUGCUAACUGCCACCCUCCUCUCCUCUCACUGCACAAUCAAGACAACGCACAAAGCUACCUUUUGGUCCGGCAUGACUUCCCCUCUGUCCAUCCACCUGGACUGCUCCUUGCACAUUCCUUCUCCUCCAGUCACAUGGCAAUGACACCUGCAACAAGCUGUUACGUCACCUCCCCAGGAACAGAGGUGAGGCCAACCUACCUCCAAGUUGCACACGCCAUCCUCCACACCCUUUCUGAAGGCUGCGGUGGCAUCCGCCAUCCUCCAGUCUUCAGGUACCUUUCCCACAGGAAACAGCAGGGAAAAGUGACAGAGAGCGCCAUUUGCCGGUCACCGCUGCCAGCUCUCAGCGGGCACAGGCAUAGCCCUCUACAGCUCAGGCAUUUGCUGGCCUCCUUUCUGCCUGAACCACUUUUGACCAGCUCCUCCGCAACUGAGGGGAAGGCAACCUUCCUCAGGGACUCUCUCCUCCAGGACCCCAGGAGCACUCUCAGCAGAAACCACUGAAACCAAAACAGGCAUCCAGCAUGUCCUCCAUCCUCCACAACUCAGGCCCUUGCCUUGUGAAGCACAGGCCUGCAAUUUCUCCAGUCUCUCCUGUUGACAAACUUCCAUUAGCCUUGACCUCCCUCCCAAAGCUGAUACUCAGAGGGACUUGGCCUUCCUCAGCCUCUCUCUUCCUUCUCCCCUUCAAGUUCCUCAGUCAGCCCUGCAGGUCCCCCACCAUUCCUGCGCACUUCCUUCCUCCUUGGGACGCAGCGCACCUCAGCAUGGACGAAGUAAUGCUCCAGCAUUCACAGGACCCCUUCCUAUGCUUGAGCAAGGGUUACCUCCAAGUAGGCCCUUCAAGAGGACAAACCUGGCUCCCUCCAAGUCCAGUGUUACAAUCCUACUCAUUGCUUUGCAGCUUCCACACAAGAUCCCAAACGCUGCGGUCUCACGACUGGCACGCUCCAGGCUGCCCCUGGCCUUCCUGUCCCCAGAUGGCUCUUCUGCAAUAGGGAGCUCCAGCAGCCCCUCUCCUCAAUGCCUCCUUCGUCACCUGUGUCAGAAGAUCUUACCUUUGACACAUUGCAGGAAACUCCUGGAGCCUACCAUGAGAACUGGCCUCACAGCUGUGGGCACCAUUUCCAGCUGUGUGCAGAAGGUCUAUCAGCUUCCUCACCCUGGUCUGUGACCAACACCACCACUCAGGUCACCCACUUUUACCUGCCUCUUCAGCCUCACGCACAAACGCUCCGCUGGUUCUUCAGUCAUCCCUAGGUGGAGCUCGAUACGUUCCCGUUCUCUCCCUCGAAAAGAGACUCCACCGCCUGGCCGGUCUGCCUUUCCUAAAAGGAACAGAGCCAUCCACGACAGCACUUCAGUCGUGCGAGCUGCCCUGCCAGGUCUCCACGGUGGGAACCUAAAUCGUGCUCCUGCAGUUACACGGGAAGGAAGAGGCGGGGAAAAAAAAAAAUAAAACCACGGUCCCAACCUGCUCGCUCCCACCGCUGGAAACGGGAUGGGUGAGAGCACCCGCAAAACACUCCGCAGUGGCCGAGGCCACCCCGGGAUCGUGCUCGGUCUCGGGCGGAGGCCCCGUGCCGGUCCUACUAAAAAGCCACGCGGGAGCCCCCAGCGGCGGCGCCGUGCCGAUCCCAAAGACACGGAGGCAGUCGGGCAGCAACCCUACAGGAGCCCCAGCAGGGGAGAUCUUACCGAGCGACUCUCAAACACUCCCCGCUUCCACGAGCUCACUGCUUCGGGCCGAUGAGAGGCUCUGCUACAGCCCUCGCUCAGCCUGCAACACGAGAAACCUUCUGUUUCAGCAGCCCUUGGCCUCGCUUCUCUCUCCCGGCAGCACAGAGGCUGCACGAAUACGGCCCCAUCGCGUUCGCUCCUACCGAGGAGAGCCUGAAGAACUGAAGCACCCGCUGAAAGAAAUCCCGAGGGUGAGGGGGGCUGAGAGCACCCCGGGGCUGUGCGAGGACUCGGGGGUCGGAGCGGCAGCCGCCUCCGAAAACGCGACGGCAGCCGGGCGGCGGCGGCGGCGCCGUAUCGGCUCCGCACAGCCGGGG